AAGGUACCUGCAGAUAUGGUGAAGAAAAUAAGAGCAGAUGAUCAUAUAACUGAAAUAUAUACGACAACAACAACAAGCAGCAGCAGCAUAAGGUGGAACAAAAACCAGCCAUCUUGGAGACUCUGGAAUGAAAACAAGGCCCAGAAGUAGAACAAGGCAUGGAAGAACCCCUGCAUAAAGAUAAGUCAGCAUCUUCAUUUCUAUUUCCUUCAUAACUUUUGUAGCUUGUGUUGUAGUGAGUAUAAGGUAAGCAUGCUAAGACACGGCAUAAUUACCUACUAACACCAAUGCGCGCCAGGAAACAAGAGUGCCAAUUAUAAAUGCAACCGAGUUACCACCAACUAGCAGCAGCUGUGAAGAAGUGCAGCGUAAGUAAUUAGAUAUGGAUGAGGUCUUAAAUUUCUGCUUUCAGCAAAAAACAUGGAUAGAAAUUUGAUACUUUACCUGGUUCAGGGAUGUGAGUCCACCUCUUAGAUUCUUUGGUGCUAUUUCAGCAAUGAACACAGACUGUGAACCACUCUUUGCUUAGAUGGCCAUAUCAGAGUCUGUUUUGGCCUUUUAUGGCACCCACAAAUUUGGAGCUUGUGCAGAGUAAAGAGAAGCUUACACAUGAGCCAAACUCAAAGGAGCCACAGACUGCAACCCCAGUGCUGAGCAGAACCAUCCACAAGGAUCCCUGGCCAUCUGAUGAAGACUCUUCUGCUUUGGCCAACUCCCGUUGUUGAAUGAGAGGCUUCCUCACCUCACUCUCAUGGAAGAAAUAAAGAAGAGGUGGAUGUCAACAAUAAGGCAGUGAGUGAAGAAUCCUACUAUCUAGACAACAUGCAGUGUAUUGAAAGAGAAGACAGCAUGUCUUCCU